rnacentral:rRNA from 1 species
CCGCGAAUUCGCCCUUAGGGUUUGAUUCUGGCUCAGAUUGAACGCUGGCGGCAGGCCUAACACAUGCAAGUCGAGCGGUAGCACAGGAGAGCUUGCUCUCCGGGUGACGAGCGGCGGACGGGUGAGUAAUGUCUGGGAAACUGCCCGAUGGAGGGGGAUAACCACUGGAAACGGUGGCUAAUACCGCAUAACGUCUACGGACCAAAGAGGGGGACCUUCGGGCCUCUUGCCAUCGGAUGUGCCCAGAUGGGAUUAGCUAGUAGGUGGGGUAACGGCUCACCUAGGCGACGAUCCCUAGCUGGUCUGAGAGGAUGACCAGCCACACUGGAACUGAGACACGGUCCAGACUCCUACGGGAGGCAGCAGUGGGGAAUAUUGCACAAUGGGCGCAAGCCUGAUGCAGCCAUGCCGCGUGUGUGAAGAAGGCCUUCGGGUUGUAAAGCACUUUCAGCGAGGAGGAAGGCCAAUAACUUAAUACGUUGUUGGAUUGACGUUACUCGCAGAAGAAGCACCGGCUAACUCCGUGCCAGCAGCCGCGGUAAUACGGAGGGUGCAAGCGUUAAUCGGAAUUACUGGGCGUAAAGCGCACGCAGGCGGUUUGUUAAGUCAGAUGUGAAAUCCCCGCGCUUAACGUGGGAACUGCAUUUGAAACUGGCAAGCUAGAGUCUCGUAGAGGGGGGUAGAAUUCCAGGUGUAGCGGUGAAAUGCGUAGAGAUCUGGAGGAAUACCGGUGGCGAAGGCGGCCCCCUGGACGAAGACUGACGCUCAGGUGCGAAAGCGUGGGGAGCAAACA